rnacentral:lncRNA from 1 species
AUCAGAAAUGCCUGAUCAACAAUAACGGUGAGCAUUUAUUGAGCACGUACUGCACGCCAGGCCAUGUUAUAACCUUACUUCAGCCUCCCGAGUAGCUGGGAUUACAGGCAUGCGCCACCACGCCUGGCUAACUUUGUAUUUUUAGUAGAGACGGGGUUUCUCCAUGUUGGUCAGGCUGGUCUCGAACUCCCAACCUCCGGUGACCCGCUCGCUUCGGCCUCCCAAAGUGCUGGGAUUACAGGCCUGAGAGCCACCGCACCCGGCCGGACCUGGUUCAUUUUAAAAUUGUUGUCUUAAUCUUAGUUGCUUAACUGCUUGCAAUUCUGUGUGUUGGCUGGUGGUUCCUCUGUGGGCUUCCCCUGGGCUUGUGCAUGCGGCUGCUUCUGGCUUUCAGCUGUGCUGGCUGGGCUAAGGUGGCCUCAUUCAUGGUGACAUGGGAUUCAGAUGGGAUCCAGAUGGGAUUCAGAUAGCAGCUGAUUGUUGGCUGGGGCACCUCUGUACUGCAUCUGGGCUCUCAUCAUCCAGAAGGUUAGACUGGCUUCUGUACGUGGUGUUUUCAGCACAGCAUCCAGGAGCCCUAGGCCCAGAUGUCCCAUAAAGUCUCUUUCUCCCAUUUAUUCUAUCUCAAAGCAAGUCAAACACCAGCCCAGGGCUUCCAGGAAACUGCUCCUCGCUCCUUGUUGGCCCACAGACUUCAUUUGUACUCACUAGCAGAGGGAUAAGAUUACUCUUUGACUCAUCCGGCCCUCCAAGGCAGGGCAGGGAAUGGGGUCACUUACCUAAGGCACCUGGGUUGCCUGCAUGCCCGUUAGGAGGAGACAGAUCAAGCACGUAGUCACGCUGCGCUGUGUUGCUUCCCUCCGCUUCUUUUGCUCCUGGGUAAAUAGGGCGGGGGAGGUGAGAUUGGAAGGAUGCCAGGAAUCUUGGGCCCAGCUGCUGCUUUAUGACUUAGGGAUAUAACUGCUUCUGACUCAUGCGUGCUUGGCUCUUUGUGAUUAUGUGCUGAGACACGUCAGCGGGAGGCUGCCCCGGAAUGUCUCCCCAUGCGAAUCGAGGGUGGGGCCUCUGCUGAGUCACCUCUGGCUCCUAGAAGCCUGGCUCAGGGUCAGCUCAUUUGAAAAGCGGCUGCCUUUUCUUCUUUUCUCUUCUCUUCUCUUUUUUUUUCUCUCUCUCUUUCAUUCACAUUAUAGCUUGAGUCAGAACUUCAUUCCUUUUUAAGGCUGAAGGACCACAUUUUGCUUGUUUGUUCAUGUGAUCGAUGAUGAUGGACACUUAGGUUGUUUCCACUUUUUAGCUAUCGUAAACACUGUUGCUAAUGGAAUAUGGGUGUACAAAUAUUUCUUCAAGAUCUUGCUUUCAAUUCUUUUGGGUAUAUACCCAGAAGUGGAACUGCUGCAUCAUAUGGAAUCCAUUCCCAGGGAAAUUCUCACCACAUAGCACAUGAACACAGGUGCCAGGAUGCAGCUGCACCUUCCUUUGUGGAGCAAAAACUUGGAAAUAUCCUUAAAAGUGAUUAAGUAAAUCAGAGUAUGAACUGUGCUCUGGAGUGCAAGACCGCGGACUAUGGCUUUCUGGAUUCUCUGGUGACACCUGCUGGCACAAAGGGAUACUGCAGCCCAGCUUGGAAGAGGAAAUGUGGACACAGACACAAACAGAGGGAGGGCCAUGUGAGCCCAGAGCAAGAAGGCGGCCAUCUACAAGCCCCGGAGCGAGGCUGCGGGAGAAGCCAGCCCCGCUCACACCUUGACAACAAUCUCUGUUGAUUAAACCACACAGUCUGCAGUCCUCUAUUACGGUGAGCCCUGCCAGCUGAGAUGGGGUUGACGUGGGAAUACAGCUGGGCACACAGGAGGCCCUCAGUGGAGGCUGGUUUCUUUGGCCCAGUGCCACAUGGAGCCCGUCCACUGGCUGAGCUGGGGGCCUGAUUGUGGCCACUCAACGUCUCUGUAAAGCUCAGGGUCUGCCUUGAGAUCCUGCACUUACCACGGAGUGGCCCUGCCUUGGGGACCCAUCUCACCUCACUUCUGCCCUCCUUUCUGGUUCAUGACUCAGCCAUCCACUAACCUCCCGUGGUAGCACUGUGGCCACUCUGUAAACGACAGCACCACUGGUGUCUCAUUGGGGGCCAGUCUGGAAGAGGGAGACCACCCUAGGCAUUUCAGACAGAAGGGAUGGAAUACAGGCAUUGCUUACACAGAGGACGGACGAGCCGAGAUGCAGAAAGGCCAGGUGAAGCAUUGGCCACAGCUGGAGGCGCUCCACCCUAGGCCAGCGGGACAGAAGGAAGCUGGGUCCGAGAAGCCAGGGCUUGGAGCCACAGUGGGGGCUGCCUGGUAGGAGUUGACCAGGGAGGGAGGGUCUGUCGGGCGGGGGCGGGGGCUCUUUGCCUUCCGAUCCAAGCUCCGCCCUCUGCAGCUCUGCUCUGUGUAUCCCAGAGCUGACCCUGCGGCGCCUUUCCCAGGCUCGCGUCCGGAAGAACAUUCCAACACAGACCACAACACCUAUGGACCUGGAAAACAUUGUGCUCAGUGAAAGAAGCCAGACACAGAAGGACAAUGUUGUAUGAGGUCUUAUUCUGUUGCCCAGGCUGGACUGCAGUGGUGCAAUCCUAGCUCACUGCAGCUUCGACCUCCCGUGCUCAAGUGAUUUUCCCACCUCAGCCUCCCGAGUAGCUGGGACUACAGGUGCGUGCCACCACGCCUGGCUGAUUUUUCUUGUAUUUUUUUGUAGAGAUGGGGGUAUCGCUAUGUUGCCCAGGCUGGUCUUGAACACUUGGGCUCAAGUAAUUCUCCCGCCUUGGCCUCCCAAAGUGCUGGGAUUACAGGUGUGAGCCACUGUGCCUAGUGUGAAUGCAUUUAAUGCCACUGAAUUGUACACUUAAUAAUGGUGAAAAAUAUAAAUAUUCUGUUAAAUAUUUUACCACAAUAAAAAAAUGUGUGACAGUUGUCAGAAUCAAAAUGGUGUCACUAAUGUUUUUUUUUUUUUUUUUUUUUUUUUUUUUGAGAUGGAGUCUCGCUCUGUUGCCCAGGAGGGAGUGCAGUGGUGCGAUCUCGGCUCACUGCAAGCUCCGCCUCCCAGCUUCACACCAUUCUCCUGCCUCAGCCUCUUGGAGUAGCUGGGACUGCAGGCACCCGCCACCACGCCCAGCUAAUUUUUUGCAUUUUUAGUAGAGACGGGGUUUCAUCGUGGUCUCGAUCUCCUGACCUCGUAAUCCGCCCUCCUCAGCCUCCCAAAGUGCUGGGAUUACAAACGUGAGCCACCGCGCCUGGCCUGGUGUCACUAAUGUUAAGAAAACCUUCACAAAUAGAGGCAGACCAUGAAGAGAGGGGUCUCAUUCUUAUAUGCCUGAUAAAGAAAGACUUUAAGAACUACAACCCUUGGCGGGGUGCAGUGGCUCAUGUUUGUAAUCCCAGCACUUUGGGAAGCUGAGGCAGGUGGAAUACCUGGGGUCAUGAGUUCGAGACCAGCCUGGCCAAAAUGGUGUAACACUGUCUCUAUUAAAAAUACAAAAAAAAUUAGCCAGGCGUGGUGGCAGGCGCCUGUAAUCCCAGCUACUCAGGAGACUGAGUCAGGAGAAUCGCUUGAACCUGGGAGGUGAAGGUUGCAGUGAGCAGAGAUAGCACCACUGCAUUCCAGCCUGGGCAACAGAGUGAGACUCUGUCUCAAAAAAUUAAAAAAAAAAAAAAAAAAGAAGCCGGGUGCGGUGGCUCACGCCUGUAAUCCCAGCACUUUGGGAGGCCAAGGUGGAUGGAUCACAUGAGGUUGAGAGUUUGAGACCAGCCUGACCAACAUGGAGAAACCCCGCCUCUACUAAAAAUACAAAAUUAGCCAGGUGUGGUGGUGCAUGCCUGUAAUCCCAGCUACUCGGGAGGCUGAGACAGGAGAAUCGCUUGAACCCGGGAGAUGGAGGUUGCGAUGAGCUGAUAGUGUCAUUGCACUCCAGCCCAGGCAACAAGAGCAAAACUCUGUCUCAAAAAAGAAAAUAUUUAUUUUUAGAGACAAGGUCUUGCUCUGUCACCGAGGCUGGAGUGCAGUCAUAGCUCACUGGAGCCUUGAAGUCCUGGGCUCAGGCAGUCCUCCUGCCUCACCUCCCAAGUAUCUGAGACUACAGGCAGGCACCACUAUGUCCAGUUAAUUUUUAAAUUUUUUCAUAGAGAUGGAGUCUCACUAUGUUGCACAGGCUGGUCAGUCUAGACAAUUUUAAAUUAAAUAUGUAACUCACAUUAACAGGUCACAUUAUUUAUUUAUUUAUUUAUUUAUUUAUUGACACAGGGUCUCGCUCUGUUGUCCAAGCUGGAGUACAGUGGCACAAUUUCGGCUCACAGCAACCUCUGCCUCCCGGGUUCAAGCGAUUCCCCUGUCUCCGCCUCCCGAGUAGCUGGGAUUACAGGCGCCCACCACCACGCCCGGCUAAUUUUUGUAUUUUUAGUAGGGACAGGGUUUCACCAUGUUGGCCAGGCUGGUCUUGAACUCCUGGCCUCGUGAUCCACCCGCCUUGGCCUCUCAAAGUGCUGGGAUUACAGGCAUGAGCCACCAUGCCCAACCGCAGACAUCUUUUUGUUUUGUUUUUUUUUCUUUUUUUUUUUCUUUGGAGAUGGUGUCUCGCUCUGUUGCCCAGGAGGGAGUGCAGUGGCAUGAUACCUGCUCACUAUAGCCUCGAACUCCUGGAUUCAAGCGAUCCUCCCACCUCAGCCUCCUGAGUAGCUGGGCCUACAAAUGUGCAACACCACGCCUGGCUAAUUAAAAAGGUGACAGAGAGACCCUGUCUCAAAAAGCAAACAAACAAAAAACGACACAUGUGCGUGUGUGUGUGUGUGUGUGUGUGUCUGUGGAGAGAGAGAGAGAGAAAGAAGGAGAAUAUGAUACAUCAAAUGUAGUAAAAUGAAAACAUUUGGGAAAUAUUUGAAGUAUUUGUAACUUUUCUCUAAGUCUGAAAGUAUUUCAAAAUUAAAAAAAAAUUUAAAAGGUGAAUAGUGCCAGGUGUGUUGGUGCACGCCUGAAAUCCCAGCACUUUGGGAGGCCAAGGCAGGUAGAUCACCUGAGGUCAGGAGUUCGAGACCAGCCUGGCCAACAUGGAGAAACUCCGUGUCUACUAAAAAUACAAAAAUUAGCCAGGCAUGGUGGUGGGCACUUGUAGUCCCAGCUACUCGGGAGGCUGAGGCACGAGAAUUGCUUGAAUCUAGGAGGUGGAGGUUGCAGUGAGCUGAGAUUGCACCACUGCACUCCAGCCUGGGCGACAGAGCAAGACUCUGUCUCAAAAAAAAAAAAAAAAAAAAAUGGUGAAUAGUACCAAGCGGUGGUGGAAGAUAUGGGAUAUAAAACCCUUGGGCACAGCUGGUGUGAGUGGAGACGGGACAGCCUUUCUGUAGAGCACCUGGUACUUAGUCAAAUUAGUCCCCCCAUCCCCUACAACCUACUCUCAAGCCAAAGUCCCAGAGACAUCCUCACACCAGCCCUAGAGGGUGCAAGGAGGUGGCAGCUCACCUUAUCUGUGGUGGGGCAGGUUGGGGGUCACUUGGGUGUCUACCCCAGGGACUGGGCGGCUGAGACUGGGGACUGCUCAUAGAAAGGACCGUGGAUGAGCCACAGCUACAAAACCCUUCACACAAGUGUUCAUGCCACAAAGUAGCCACAUGUGUUUUGCAG